ensembl:lncRNA
AACGACAGAGGUCCCAGAAAAAAGAGAGCUCAUCGGAAAGUCUGAAAACUGCUGUGAUUUCCAUCUCUGCAUCCAAUUAAGGCGCAGGUCAACGAAGGAGCUCGCGAUGGAAUUUCCACCCAGGAUUAUGUGCUCAUCCGACCUAUGCUAUAAAUUAUCUAUAGUCCUCCUAAGUCAUAUUAUGUUGCCAAGAGAUGGGUUACUUCGGCCACUUCUAAGAAACUGUAACAAAAACUGCACCUCCACGACAAAGAAUUAUUUAUUUACGUAGGCCUUAACACAGUAAACUUCAAGCUAUUUUACAACGGUAUCUGCAUCAUAAUUUUAAAUGAUUAUGGUCAAUUUAUCUUCAUGUGAUGAUGUGGACGUUUUGUAGCAGAAUUUAAGUUAGGCUACCCUAUUUUGUUUCCAAAAUAAUGUAGUCAUCUGUAGUUGUGGCUUAUAUCUCUAUUUCGUGGUAAAACAGGAAUGACAAAGCCAUAAUCGUAUGGAUUAUAGGUCACUUUAUUUUAUUCUUUUAUGACCAAAUAACUUGAGGGUUGAAACUUCACGGGCUAAAGAAUAGUCCUACCGCCUCUUCUAAAAAGGGGUCUAGCCUAGAGACGUCCAAAAUUACAUUUGUUUAUGAGAGCCAAAUUAUGUAGGUUACCAACAUUUUACAAGGAACACAAUAACAAUAUCAUAGAUCUGGAAUAAAUAAAAUAAAUAAUGGAAGUUACUAUUAGGCAUAAUAAAUAACCUAACCUGAAUUAAAACAUACAGAUUUGCUAGCUACACACACACACACGGACACACACUUACAAAUGCAAACUUAAAGAAAUGUCGAGGAGGAUAUCACGAAAUAUUUCCUCACACACGCACAAACGCAAACGCAACGCACUCGAUGAAACACAGGGAAAGAUUAAUAGCCGACAUUUUUAUUUUAUUUUAUAAAAGUAGAAUAUUUAUAGGGUUAAACAUAAAAUUAUAUAAAUUCAUGAAUAAAUUAAUGUCAUGGACUUAUAGCCUAC